rnacentral:snoRNA from 1 species
CGUCCGUGAUGAUGUCAACGAAUUCUCAAAACAUUCGCAGUGGUCGCCUAAUAGCUUUUGUCGUCGCCAGACUUGAGAGCUAAUGCUGCAUUUAUCCUUCCGGAUGUCUGAUGCU